rnacentral:tRNA from 1 species
GGUGGCUCAGUGGUGGAGCUCUUGCCUUGCAUGCAUGAGGCCCUGGGUUCGAUUCCUCAGCACCA